rnacentral:rRNA from 1 species
AACGAACGCUGGCGGCGUGGAUAAGACAUGCAAGUCGAACGGGACUAAAUCUGUAGCAAUACAGGUUUAGUUUAGUGGCGAACGGGUGCGUAACACGUGGGCAAUCUGCCGAGAAGUGGGGAUAGCUCGCCGAAAGGCGAAUUAAUACCGCAUAUGAUCAGUGAAGACAUCUUCACGACAUCAAAGCCGGGCAACCUGGCGCUUCUUGAUGAGCCCGCGGCCUAUCAGCUAGUUGGUGAGGUAACGGCUCACCAAGGCUAUGACGGGUAGCUGGUCUGGAGAGGACGACCAGUCACACUGGAACUGAGA